CCCAUGUGGGAUCAGACCAGGAAGGAUGCCAUCCCAUGGGACGGACCCACACAGAACAGAAGCAGAGAGUGAUCAUGGAAGAGCAGAAGACAUGAAGCUUUAUGGACUGACCGCAGCCCCCUUUCCCUAUUCCCCUGUGCUCGUUGAGGGAAGGAGAAGGAGUUACAAUGAGGAGCCCUGAGGUGGCCCAGAGGGCAGGAAAGGACAACAUUCAAAACUCCAGCAACCAGUGAAAGAGGAAUUAAGACGGCAGUCAGGCACCACAAGCAACCUGCAUCUCUGCCAACAAUGCAUUUGGGGAUAUAAUGCCUUGUUCAGUUAUUUAUAAAUAGGCAUUUUCCAGGAUCGACACCUACCAGAGCCCAGCCAUCCACCUCCACUGCCUCCCUUUCCUUGGCAGCCAUUCCUGCAGCAGAAAUGCAUGGGUGGCAAGAGUCCUCCAGCUGUCCUCAUCUUCAGUCUCACUGGUUUGGGGGUGUUGUGGUGGUAAGAGAAGCAUCUGCUAUUCGAGACCCUGUCUUAAACAGCCACAUUGCCAUGAAUAAGUUUCCAGUGCUAAUAGUCAGGAACUGUAGCAGAUAGGAAGACUGCCAGCUCUUGGAUACACACUUCUGUUUGGGUCACAAGAGGAAGUCACCCUCUUGUACAAUAUCUGUGCAAACACCAAAUCCUACUCACCUCUGAUGUUCACAACAAGUUUGAGCUAAGCAAAGCACUCUACCCAUGGACAAUGCUAAGAUGCUGGUCAUCUCAGAAGAAGAUCAAGCGAGCUUGAUGUUGAAGGGAGAGUGUGAUAUAAUUGAUUGUGAGAUAUGAUGAGAUAAAUCAGGCAAUUGAAAUUACUCUUGGGUCCCAAACAUGGGUUGUAAGAUUUUUCCAAGCAGUGAAGACAUUCAGCGCGCUGCACAUUUCAGAGAUUGAGGUUUGAAACCUAACUAAACAAAUAAUGAAAAUUAAAAAAUAAAAA
ensembl:lncRNA